rnacentral:tRNA from 1 species
GACUUCGUGGUGUAACGGUAGCACAGUCGACGCGUAUUCAAGAGGUUCAGGUUCGAUUCCCGGCGAAGGCA